rnacentral:piRNA from 1 species
UACAAAACAUAUGUGCAGGCAAGAUGUCA